GGUUAGUGGCGAACGGGUGAGUAAUACAUGAGCAACCUGCCUCAAACAGGGGGAUAACACCGGGAAACUGGUGCUAAUACCGCAUAAGACCACAGCGCGGCAUCGCGCAGGGGUAAAAACGAUUCAGUGGUUUGAGAUGGGCUCAUGUCCCAUUAGCUAGUUGGUGAGAUAACAGCCCACCAAGGCGACGAUGGGUAGCCGACCUGAGAGGGUGAUCGGCCACAUUGGGACUGAGACACGGCCCAGACUCC
rnacentral:rRNA from 1 species